rnacentral:rRNA from 1 species
UCCUUUAGGUUAGCGGCGGACGGGUGAGUAACACGUGGGCAACCUGCCCUGCAGACUGGGAUAACUUCGGGAAACCGGAGCUAAUACCGGAUAACACCGAAAACCGCAUGGUUUUCGGUUGAAAGGCGGCUUUUACCUGUCACUGCAGGAUGGGCCCGCGGCGCAUUACCUAGUUGGGGAGGUAACGGCUCACCAAGGCAACAAUGCGUACCCAACCUGAAAGGGUGACCGGCCACACUGGGACUGAAACACGGCCCAAACUCCUACGGGAGGCAGCAGUAGGGAAUCUUCCGCAAUGGACAAAAGUCUGACGGAGCAACGCCGCGUGAGCGAAAAAGGUCUUCGGAUCGUAAAGCUCUGUUGUCAGGGAAAAACAAGUACCGUUCAAACAGGGCGGUACCUUGACGGUACCUGACAAGGAAGCCACGGCUAACUACGUGCCAGCAGCCGCGGUAAUACGUAGGUGGCAAGCGUUGUCCGGAAUUAUUGGGCGUAAAGCGCGCGCAGGCGGUUCCUUAAGUCUGAUGUGAAAUCUCGCGGCUCAACCGCGAGCGGCCAUUGAAAACUGGGGAACUUGAGUGCAGGAGAGGGAAGCGGAUUUCCCCGUGUAGCGGUGAAAUGCGUAAAAGAUGUGGAGGAACNCCAGUGGGCGAAGCGCGGCUCCUCUGGCUUGUAACUUGACGCCUGAGGCCGCGAAAGCGUGGGGGGAGCGAACAGGAUUAGAUACCCUGGUAGUCCCACGCCGUAAACGAUGAGUGCUAAGUGUUAGAGGGUAUCCACCCCUUUAGUGCUGCAGCAACGCAUANCACCUCCGNCUGGGGAGUACGGCCGCAGGCUGAACUCAAGGAUGACGGGA